UACGUAGGUGGCAAGCGUUGUUCGGAAUUAUUGGGCGUAAAGGGCGCGUAGGCGGUCUUGUAAGUCAGCUGUGAAAGCCCGGGGCUCAACCCCGGAGGGUCGGCUGAUACUGCAGGACUGGAGUACGGAAGAGGUAGCUGGAAUUCCCGGUGUAGCGGUGAAAUGCGUAGAUAUCGGUAGGAACACCAGUGGCGAAGGCGGUUUCCUGGGGCACUCUUGACGCUGAGGCGCGAAA
rnacentral:rRNA from 1 species